AUAAUGAACUCUUAAAAAUCUGAAGAAAACUCUGGCUGUUUUGUAACUUUGUAGUAAUUGACUUAUCCCGUUAACGUUUUCACUUAUUUGUUGCAAAACAAAAAUAUACUAUUUUAUGUCAUGUUCCCGAGAGGCGAAACUCGGAGAGGUCAGUUAUAGUCAUGGACGCACACACAAGUUAUGAGGUUAUAUCGUCAAAUAAUGUGUUAAUUAAUUGUAUCUAAAGGAGAAAAAUUAUUGCUACUGGCAAUCAUUGGUAAAGUCCCUUUCAAUUCCAUUAAGUACCCGCUUGAUAUUGCGUAUUUGUUCAAAAUAUUUUAUUCCAUCGUGACCGUGUCACGACUUGUCAGACAUAAGUUAUUUAAUGUUUUACCUCUUGGUGGAUUAUAAAAAAACUAUAUAAAAGCAGUCGAUACUCUAGCAGCCUUUGUGGCUCUAAAGAUGUUAUGUAAUUGGAUCCUCAAGUUAUUGGGUUCCCAAGUCACCACUGAACUCAGUGGGUAUAAGGAGAUAGAAUUGUGUAUGAUGGGAGGUGUUGUAGUUUACAAAAAGACCAAAAUUAACGAAGGAAGGGAGUUAGAUUGCAUUGCAGUGAUGUCAAGCUCAUUUAUCUUCAAAUAAAACUCAAAAGCCUAAAAUUAUUUAAUGGUUUACUUCUUAAGACGUGAAUCAGGUGUUGAAGGUAACUUCAGACUGGACAGUCCUGCCACCAGCGAGCGCAUGAGAAUGGCUUGUGUCGACCAGUUCAUUGAACAAUUUACCUCCGAUGAGGAUUCCAGAGUUGAGAACUUUAACGUGUACCCUUAAAGAAAGGAACGUUCAACGUCUGAAGUGUGCAAAGAAAACGAACAUCUUAAAAUAAUCAUUGUGACAGUUGUCACCAAAAAUCUUGCAUUAUUAAAUUAUUAUAUUAUA